GAUGAACGCUGGCGGCGUGCUUAACACAUGCAAGUCGAACGAUGAAGCCGGAGCUUGCUCUGGUGGAUUAGUGGCGAACGGGUGAGUAACACGUGAGUAACCUGCCCUUGACUCUGGGAUAAGCGCUGGAAACGGCGUCUAAUACCGGAUACGAGCUUCCACCGCAUGGUGAGUUGCUGGAAAGAAUUUCGGUCAAGGAUGGACUCGCGGCCUAUCGGCUUGUUGGUGAGGUAACGGCUCACCAAGGCGACGACGGGUAGCCGGCCUGAGAGGGUGACCGGCCACACUGGGACUGAGACACGGCCCAGACUCCUACGGGAGGCAGCAGUGGGGAAUAUUGCACAAUGGGCGCAAGCCUGAUGCAGCAACGCCGCGUGAGGGACGAAGGCCUUCGGGUCGUAAACCUCUUUUAGCAGGGAAGAAGCGAAAGUGACGGUACCUGCAGAAAAAGCACCGGCUAACUACGUGCCAGCAGCCGCCGUAACAC
rnacentral:rRNA from 1 species